AGGAUGAACGCUAGCGACAGGCCUAACACAUGCAAGUCGAGGGGCAGCACAAGGAGCAAUCUGAGGUGGCGACCGGCGCACGGGUGAGUAACACGUAUGCAACCUGCCUGUAAGCGGGGAAUAACCCGUUGAAAGACGGACUAAUACCGCAUAAUACUAAAUUACUGCAUGGUAAUUUAUUUAAACAUUUAUGGCUUACAGAUGGGCAUGCGCAUGAUUAGCUAGUUGGAGAGGUAACGGCUCCCCAAGGCAACGAUCAUUAGGGGUUCUGAGAGGAAGGUCCCCCACACUGGUACUGAGACACGGACCAGACUCCUACGGGAGGCAGCAGUGAGGAAUAUUGGUCAAUGGGCGAGAGUCUGAACCAGCCAAGUCGCGUGCAGGAAGAAUGUUCCCUAUGGAUUGUAAACUGCUUUUGCAGGGGAAUAAAGUGCAUCACGUGUGAUGUUUUGUAUGUACUCUGCGAAUAAGGAUCGGCUAACUCCGUGCCAGCCGCCGC
rnacentral:rRNA from 1 species